rnacentral:rRNA from 1 species
UACGUAAGGGGCUGGCGUUGCUCGGAAUUACUGGGCGUAAAGGGCGUGUAGGCGGUUCUGCAAGUCGAAUGUAAAAGACCGAGGCUCAACCUCGGGACUGCGUUCGAAACGGCAGGGCUUGAGUCUGGUGGAGGGUAAUGGAAUUCCCGGUGUAGCGGUGAAGUGCGUAGAGAUCGGGAAGAACACCGAAGGCGAAAGCAGUUACCUAUGCCAAGACUGACGCUGAGGCGCGAAAGCAUGGGGAUCAAACAGGAUUAGAUACCCUGGUAGUCCAUGCUGUAAACGAUGUAUACUAGGAGUUGGCGGCAUCCGUUAGCUCCGUAGCAAACGCAUUAAGUAUACCGCCUGGGGAGUACGGCCGCAAGGUUGAAACUCAAAGAAAUUGACGGGGGCCCGCACAAGCAGUGGAGUGCGUGGUUCAAUUCGAUGGUAAACGAAGAACCUUACCAGGGUUUGACAUGCUAUCGCUAGGCGGUGAAAGCCGCUGUUUCCGUAAGGGACGGUAGCACAGGUGCUGCAUGGCUGUCGUCAGCUCGUGCCGUGAGGUGUUGGGUUAAGUCCCGCAACGAGCGCAACCCUUGCUCUUAGUUGCUACCCGCGAGGGAGCACUCCAAGAGGACUGCCGCCGAUAAGGCGGAGGAAGGAGGGGAUGAGGUCAAGUCAUCAUGGCCUUUAUACCCUGGGCUACACACAUACUACAAUGGCUGCUACAACGGGGAGCGAAGGAGCGAUCUGGAGCGAAUCCUACAAAAGCAGCCUCAAUACGGAUUGUAGUCUGCAACUCGACUACAUGAAACCGGAAUUGCUAGUAAUCGCGGGUCAGCAAAACCGCGGUGAAUACGUUCUCGGGCCU